CCUACGGGGGGCAGCAGUGGGGAAUAUUGGGCAAUGGAGGCAACUCUGACCCAGCAACGCCGCGUGAAUGAUGAAGGUCUUCGGAUUGUAAAGUUCUGUGAUGGGGGAUGAACACAAUGACGGUACCCCAAUAGCAAGCCACGGCGAAUUACGUGCCAGCAGUCGCGGUAAUACGUAGGUGGCAAGCGUUAUCCGGAUUGACUGGGCGUAAAGGGUGCGUAGGUGGUUUAGUAAGUUGGCGGUGUAAUUCCGGGGCUCAACCUCGGCGCUACCGCCAAAACUAGUAGACUAGAGUGCAGGGAGGGUAAGUGGAAUUCGUAGUGUAGCGGUGGAAUGCGUAGAUAUUAGGAGGAACAUCAGGGGCGAAGGCGACUUACUGGACUGUAACUGACGCUGAGGCACGAAGGCGUGGGGAGCGAACAGGAUUAGAUACCCGUGUAGUC
rnacentral:rRNA from 1 species